GGUGAACAGAAAGUAGGCAGAUUUAAAACUUCAAAAAUCUCUUGUAAUCGUGAUUUAUUCAACGACGGUUAGGCGAUAGUUAAUAUAACUUUGUAGCAGAUUAUAUACUUGAAUACACUCCUUAAGUCAUUAACACCAACAUAGGACCAUUCAGCAUCCUUAUGCAGGAGAAUUACACAGCUGCAGGAGAAUAACACAGCUGCAGAUAGAUUCUACAGUUACAGGAAGAUUUCACAGCUGCCCUUUGAUUCUAGAGCUGCAACAAAUGCCUAUGUUUCUGAAAAGAAUUGCUGCAAAACAGAUAAUUGCAGGAAUUACGAAAAUCUUCAAAGAGACACCUAAAGAGAAUGUUGAACAAAUUGCCGUGCGCUUGCAGUACAAGGCAUUGAAGGGAACUAAAGAUGACAUCAAGAAAUAUGUAAAAGCAGUAAAGGAAGGAAAUGAUGCGGGUGUGCUAAAACCAAAAUGGGGACUAAGAAUGCAGCGUCUCCCAGAUGAUAUCUUACACAGGUUAACCACUGCAGGUCAAACAAAGGAAACGAUUACACAUGAUCUAGUUGAGAGUGAAGACUUUGAAAAUUUUACUCUGGGGAUCGAUGGGAAAAACAGGCCUACGGUAGUCCUAAGGCAAAGAUCGCUUAUAAACCAUACAGUGCAGUGUAUACUUAGGGAGAAAGAGAGAUAUGGGAUCACAUCCCCUGUAUUGGGCUACAGGUUCAAAGACAAUGUCAUGACAAAGCAGAAAUUCCCACAGACUAUUGUUAUAGAUUUUAGCUCACCUAAUAUUGCCAAAGAAUUCCAUGUUGGCCAUCUCAGAUCUACAAUACUUGGGAACGUCCUGUCGAAUCUGCUGUCAACAUUUGGGCACAAUGUAAUCAGGAUUAAUUACCUUGGUGACUGGGGAAUGCAAUUUGGUAUUUUGGGACAUGCUUGGCUAUCACAUGGAUCUGAGGAAAAGUUGGCCAAAGAUCCUUUAGGACAUUUAACAGAGUUAUACGUGGAUAUGAAUAAAACAAUAAGUAAAGAACAGAAAGAAAGCAAAUCAAAGACAUCAGGCUCACAUAGGAAAGCUAUGCAGUUUUAUAAAGACCUUGAAAAUGGUGAAUCAUAUGCCAUUGAGCUUGCAGAGAGGAUCAAGAACAUAAGUCUACCAGAAUAUGAAAAGUUUUAUAAGAUGUUAGGAGUAAAAUUUGAUGUAAUAUCAGGAGAAUCUCAAUACAACGACAAAUGUGAUGAUGUCAUAGUGAGGUUAGCCAAUAAGGGAGUACUCAAGACACACACAUUAAUGAAUAAAGAGACAUUGACCUUUGUAAAAAUAGAUGAUGAUGUCACAAUAAAACAUGAGGAAAAUGCAAGUAAAUCCGAGUCAUCUCAGGAAGACAAAAUACCAGCUAAUUGGGCAGUUCUACAAAAAGCUGAUGGUACACAUUUGUACCUUACAAGAGAAAUUGCAUCAGCUCUUGACCGUUUAGAGACCUACCAACCUGACCAACUGCUGUAUGUGGUGGAGAAUGGUCAACAUGCCCAUUUUAACAGUCUCAUACAAGUCAUGAAGGCAAUGGAACACCCAUUCUUUCUCAAUAAGACUGUAGAUGACAUCCAAGUGAAGUUUGGUCUUGUAGUUGGAAUGAAAAGCAGACUUGGUAAUGUGGUCUUACUGGGUGAACUCAUUGAUUCACUUAAAACAGAAAUGAAGAAACGGAUUAGAAAAUCAAAAACUACCAUGGAGAUUCCAGAACAUGAGGAAGAUGCAACACUAACCAAUCUAGCAACAUCAGGCCUCAUUAUAAAUGAUCUCAUGGGCAAUAGGAGAAAGUUCUUCAAAUGGGACGGCUGGAAGAACAGGCUUGAUAUCGCUGUUAGGUGGCAUUAUUGUCAUGCAAGACUUUGUAGACUUGAAGAGAACACAUUUUGUCCUUUAAAUCUGUCUGCUGAUGUCACAGUGUUGAGAGACGUCUAUUCUGGAUCCCUAGCAUUCCAGCUUGCCAGGUAUGAAGAUGUUCUACAGCAGUCUAUACAACACCUAGAACCCCACACUUUAGUGCAAUAUAUCAUAGCCCUAGUGGAUGAAAUCAGUCAAUACCUUAAUGUACAUAAGAUUAAAGACAUGGACAAGACUCAGGGGGAGGCACAUCUACUAUUGUUGCACUGUUCAAGGAUUGUACUUCACAAUGGAAUGACAUUGCUUGGAAUAAAGCCUUUGGAGAGAUUUUGAUGAACUUGUAGACUGCCAAAAAGUUUUAAGAAUUAUGACAAAUAAAUACA
rnacentral:misc_RNA from 1 species